CAAGGCAUGGGGGAGGUGAACUAACUUGCCACACAGCUGAUAAAUACUAGAGCUGGUGAAGAAGGAGGCCGUCAGGGAAGGCUUCUGGGGAAGGUGCUGCACCUGUGCCAGGCCUGGAGCAGGUGAUAUCAAUAUGGAAGAAAGGGGAAGGCAUCACGCUUAGCUGGGGCAUGGUUUGUACUGGCUACAUGUCUCUUUGGAGUCCUGUUGCCAACCUGCCCACACUGGGCUCAGCAGCCCCAGGGAACUCUGGGCCUGCCCUGGCCUCCACCUGCCACACUGCCUUAGUGAACAUUCCCUCAGCCUGGCACAAAGCAGGAGGUUUUGGGUAGUUGCUGGACCCUUGGGACUUGAUGUUUACACCUGCUCACAGGUGGAUGCUGCUUCAACAACCACUCCUGAUUUCUUUUGAUACUUCUCUUGCUGAAAAUAGUUGAAUUACAAAAACAAUGCACAGUCAUGAUAGAAAAUGCGCAAUCAUUAUGCACGGAGUGGGAAGACAACCAGAACCGACUCCUGCUGCUUUUUCAAGUUGGAGGAGAUGACUCUCAAAAGGUUUCUUGAUGAAAUUUCCAACAUAAAAGACAAGAUCUUAUUGCUGGAAGAAGUGGAUUUUGUGAGGGAGGGCCUCAUACUCUGCAUAUGAAAACAAAGAACCUGAGGAUUUUGUUGUGUCCUCUUGGUGGCAGAAAGCAUGAUCCCGUUAAUCUGGAAGAUUUGAGGAUACUGAGAUGGCAGAAAUAUGGGCUACAAACAUAAACAAAUGGAAGAAAAUACCCCCUCUCCACCCAUCAAGAAGAAAGAGUAACUCCAAACAUUUUGAUCUGCAUGGAAGCCCUGCCCUUUGAAGUCGCUCAUGGACCCAGACUGAUAGAGGAUCUGUCUCAGCACAUGCUUCAAGAUUCUCAUACGUACAGAAAACAGAGAACAUGGUUAACCCUGAGCUGGCUCCUAAAGCUUCUUCCCAGAAGAUACACACACCACUUAGCCAAAGUAAAUCACAUAGGUAUGUUUAAGUUUAACAAGGCAGGGAGGCACGUAGAAUAUUUGUGAACAAUAGUACAGUUAGCCAUAUUAAUUGUAAUGACUUUAUCUGGACAAGCAUAGCUUGUUUUACUGUACUUUGCCUUGCUGUCCUUCACAGAUACUGCAUUUUUUUUUUUUUUACAAAUUGAAGGU
rnacentral:lncRNA from 1 species